GUAGGUGACCUGCGGAGGAUCAUUG
rnacentral:rRNA from 2 species